rnacentral:rRNA from 1 species
GAUGAACGCUGGCGGCGUGCCUAAUACAUGCAAGUCGAGCGAACAGACGAGGAGCUUGCUCCUCUGACGUUAGCGGCGGACGGGUGAGUAACACGUGGAUAACCUACCUAUAAGACUGGGAUAACUUCGGGAAACCGGAGCUAAUACCGGAUAAUAUAUUGAACCGCAUGGUUCAAUAGUGAAAGACGGUUUUGCUGUCACUUAUAGAUGGAUCCGCGCCGCAUUAGCUAGUUGGUAAGGUAACGGCUUACCAAGGCAACGAUGCGUAGACGACCUGAGAGAGUGAUAGGCGACACUGGAACGGGGACACGGUCCAGACUCCUACGGGAGGCAGCAGUAGGGAAUCUUCCGCAAUGGGCGAAAGCCUGACGGAGCAACGCCGCGUGAGUGAUGAAGGUCUUCGGAUCGUAAAACUCUGUUAUGAGGGAAGAACAAAUGUGUAAGUAACUAUGCACGUCUUGACGGUACCUAAUCAGAAAGCCACGGCUAACUACGUG